ensembl:lncRNA
CAAAUGUGAUCCAGAUUCAGACUGAGAUAUACAAGAACGACCCAGUAGAGGGAGCAUUUAAAGUCUAUGAAGACUUUGUAUUGUACAAGUCUGGCAAGAACACAUGCAGCAGUAAGAGAUGUAAUGCAAACACGCAUUACACUGAAUAUUGAGUACAGGGUGAACCCUAAUUGCAUAUUCUGCUCAGUGAUACAGUGUGUACAGUGUUGCUUGGGACCUCGUGGUUCCCACUUGUGUUUCUUGCGUCCUCUUCCUGUCUCCAGGUGUGUAUCAACACGUUUCAGGCUCUGCUGUGGGUAGACAUGCCAUCAAGAUCCUGGCUGGGGAGAGGAGGAUGGUGUUUCCUACUGGCUCUGUGUCAACUCCUGGAACACUGACUGGGGUGAUAAUGGAAUGGAGAGAGCCACACAGCCUGUUGGUGGACCUUCAGAUGCCUCAGAUGACGACUCUGGCCAAGAAGGGACAUCUAAAGAUGACGAGAUGAGAGAACCCAGCAGGAAAAUGAAACGACACAAUAAACAUGGAUGGAGGAUGCACUGCCUCCUGCUGAAAGACCCUGCAACACAUGAUGAAUGCAGCCAGCAAGAUCAUCGGUCUCCAGUCCUCAGACGUUUUCAACACCCGCCUCAUCCGCCGACCCAUCAGCGUUGCCGGUGACACAUCUCACUCUUCACACUCCCUAUUCAGUCUACUGCCUUCAGGAG